GGGAAACUGAGGCCUAGAGGAAUGGCGGUAUCUACUGAAGGUCAAUCCCUAAUUAGUUGAAGAGAGGUCGAGGGGUUGAUGCUGUGGAAGACGGAUGAGAAGGCACUGCUCGAGAAGCGGGGGGAGGACAGGGGGAAGCUCAUGCUCACGGGCCGCUCUGUAACCAAGACAAGCCACAGGGGAAAGGAGGGCUGCUUUUGUUCUGAGCCUCCCCAGGAAAGUGCUUCCAGGCACCAACCACAGGCUUCCCCUGAGCACAGCGAGGUUCAACUCUUGUGUCCGCAGCACAGAACCUGGCCCUGAGGAGCGGCUAAUAAACGCUGGAUGAGAAAAUACAAUGGCAUGAGAAUGUGAGUAUCAGUGUGUGUGCACCCUGUGCUGCACCUGGAACCCCCCCCAACACACACACAAAGGGCACUGCUGCCACCCCCAGGGUCAUGCACCAGCUGAGAGGGGAGACACCCAUGCCUUGCGGACCCUGUCCCAGCCCCCACGUGCCCACAGUGGCCCCAGUAGGGGCCACAUCUCCCUGGUUCUGAGCCCUGAGAGCUCGAGCUGGCCUUGCCCUGAAAGAGGGAGAAGGGGAAGCUCUUUUGCUGCCUAGA